GAUGAACGCUGGCGGCGUGCUUAACACAUGCAAGUCGAACGAGAAGUGGAGACGGAAACCUUCGGGCGGAAGACUUUAUUUCGAGUGGCGGACGGGUGAGUAACGCGUGGGUAACCUGCCUCAUACAGGGGGAUAACAGUUGGAAACGACUGUUAAUACCGCAUAAGACCACAGCACCGCAUGGUGCGGGGGUAAAAACUCCGGUGGUAUGAGAUGGACCCGCGUUCGAGUAGCCAGUUGGCGGGGUAACGGCCCACCAAAGCGACGAUCGAUAGCCGAUCUGUGAGGAUGACCGGCCACACUGGGACUGAGACACGGCCCAAACUCCUACGGGAGGCAGCAGUGGGGAAUAUUGCACAAUGGGGGAAACCCUGAUGCUGCGACGCCGCGUGAGUGAAGAAGUAUUUCGGUAUGUAAAGCUCUAUCAGCAGGGAAGAAAAUGACGGUACCUGAGUAAGAAGCCCCGGCUAACUACGUG
rnacentral:rRNA from 1 species